UGUAAUAAAUGCUCGGGAAGUUAUGGAGAGGAAGAAUACGAUCCCAGUGAUUAAUGCCAAAGCCCUGUUGCCUGGGGAGAGGGUGAUGUUUGACUUUCUUGUACAGCUGUAGUUUGUGUGGUGAAGGUGCUCCCACAAUGUGGUUGGGAUGAGGGUGUCACUGACUGGGCCCAAAGGGCAGUAAAGAGUCAACCACAUUGCUGUGGGUCUGGAGUCACAUGUAGGCCAGACCAGGAUAUUGAGAAUAAUUGAGACUGGAAUCUCAAAAACCAUUUUCUACAGUCAGCUGAGUCAUCAGGAUCUGAAUACCAUUGGCAUUUAACUGUGGAAGGAGAAAGGGUGCUAGAUGGUGAAGGUUUGCAGACUGAAAUCUAACCAUCACGUGCAGAUUGUGAUUAAGUUACCCAGCAUUUGAAGAACCACAGAUGGAGAAUAACUCGGCCAAAAUCCUGCACACUCUCCUCACAGCAUUGUUGGUCUAUCUGCGCCAAAUGGACUGUGAAUGGCACAAGACAGCAGCUCACUACCAUCUUCUCAAGGGUAACUAGAGAUGGGGAAUAAAUGCUGGCUGAGCCAGUGAUGCCCAUAUCCUGGAAAUGGGUUCUAUCUCUAGUUGCUGAAACCCAGUUGAUGUUACUGCAGGAUGAUGAGGGACGCUGAGUGCAUCCUCCAGGAGGCAGCACCAUCACAUUACCCCUGCCUACACCCACACAGUAACACCGCAACGUCACUGGUACAAAAGGCAGUGAAGCCAAAGGAGGACUGAGAUAUAGUUCUUCGAGGUAAAGUCAUGAAAGGGGAUUGGAACACAGCAGGAACAG